UGUGAAGUGGUACAAUGGUUAGAGCUUUGGACUUGAAAUCAUGAAGUCCUGAGUUCAAACUCAGCAUCCCAU
rnacentral:tRNA from 1 species